UGUACAUUGAUUUUCAGAUAAAACGGCUAAAAAGAGCAGGAAGAAAAAGAAAGUUUCCUCAUCGACUGACAGCACUUAAUCUGAAGUCAGCAUCUGGAAAUCUGACACAAUGAGCCGUCCACAGAGCUACAUAGAAGCUCUUGAUAACAUGCACACCAAGCAAAGUUUCCAGACUCUGAGAGAUGAACUUGAAGCUGUGAAAAGAAAUCUCACAGAGAGACGCUGUGAAGUAAAAUCAUGCAACACGGUGCAGCAAACCAGCCCACAACCUCCUGUAGUAAAAGAAAGUAAGUGAUGGAUUUUGCCUUUCUUCCAUGUUUGCAUCCUCUGAUGAUGAUUAAAGAACCGGUGAUGUAUUGACAGAUACAAGAAGUCAGAUUGGCAGUAUAUAUACCUGUGAAGUAGAAAACUGUUGACUCUGUCUGAUUGUCUCAGCUGCUCUCAGAUUCAAACUCGUUCAUCUCAAAGUUCCUGCUGCUUCCAAAUCACACAAAUAUAAACAGUGAUCUGUUUCACCUGACUCAAGUUUUUACUGUGAUCUCUUCAAAGAUGACUCAUGUCCAAAAUGUGAAUAUGGCUGGGAGCAGCAUGGAAGACAGUGUUAUUUAUUUUCUCCAUCGAUCCUUUAACCUGGAGUGAGAGCAGAUAUGAAUGCAGACAGAAAGGAGGAGAUCUGGUUCAGAUAGACAGCAGAGAGGAGCAGGUAAAACACACUGCUGCAGGUUCAUGUAGCUCACUGGCUUUAUUCUCAUUUGUUUUAUCACAUCCUGUGUUUCCACAUUAGUUAACAUGGUCUCUCAGCA
rnacentral:lncRNA from 15 species